CUGUGAUCAUGAAGAAGAGAGACUAUGAAAGGAAGCAGGAACGGGUUUCUCCUCCUCUUCACUGCAUGGACCUUCAGCAUGUGGAGCUUUAUCUUUCUCUCUCUCUCUCUCCUGUGGUCCAGAUGUACAGCUUCAUGCUCGCAUGGCUUGGAUAACUGGAGUAACACAUGAUCCCGCCUCCUGCGAUGUGAUUGGUUCCCAAACAUGAAGCAGUCCUCUGAUUGGACGGUGGACUCCCCUGAACUUUUCAGGCCUCUAAUGGACUUCGUUUGAGUUCAGGAUGUGAAGUCGCAGGAAUGUCGGCUGUUCCUCUUCAGCUGUGCAGAAGGAGGGUUUAAGAUCAGCCUGGGUUGUAUGAUUUGUGCUUCCUGCUUGGCUGAAGCCUUUAGUCCAAGAUGGAAAUCGGCACGAUUCAGAUGUCCAGGAUCUUGCAUAAUCCUUGGGGGAUCCUUACAGUGCUUUAAAAACUCUUGACAUUCAACGCUGCACACAUGUUUAAAAGUGUAUUAUUUAUUUUAUUUUUUUUUAUUUCGUCUUUUUCAAACUGCAUGUUGACGAUGUCUCGCAUGUAAACAAAAAUAAACGGAUUUAA